GACGAACGCUGGCGGCGUGCCUAAUACACGCAAGUUGAGCGCUGAAGGUUGGUACUUGUACCAACUGGAUGAGCAGCGAACGGGUGAGUAACGCGUGGGGAAUCUGCCUUUGAGCGGGGGACAACAUUUGGAAACGAAUGCUAAUACCGCAUAAAAACUUUAAACACAAGUUUUAAGUUUGAAAGAUGCAAUUGCAUCACUCAAAGAUGAUCCCGCGUUGUAUUAGCUAGUUGGUGAGGUAAAGGCUCACCAAGGCGAUGAUACAUAGCCGACCUGAGAGGGUGGUCGGCCACAUUGGGACUGAGACACGGCCCAAACUCCUACGGGAGGCAGCAGUAGGGAAUCUUCGGCAAUGGACGAAAGUCUGACCGAGCAACGCCGCGUGAGUGAAGAAGGUUUUCGGAUCGUAAAACUCUGUUGGUAGAGAAGAACGUUGGUGAGAGUGGAAAGCUCAUCAAGUGACGGUAACUACCCAGAAAGGGACGGCUAACUACGUG
rnacentral:rRNA from 1 species